UGGAACAUAUUUUUAAAAAAAAUUAUGAGAGAAAAAAUAGGCUAUAUUUUUUUAACAUAAUAUUCUUUUCCUUUUUAAAUAGUAAGUCAAAUUAAAUCAACCAUAUUUCACACAAAUCACUGAAGAGUAAAAUCAUGCCCUAUUUAUGGAACAGUUUUUAAAAAAUAAAUAAAUUAUGGGAUUCAAUUUAAACCUUCCCAUAAAUCACGCAUAACGGUUGUUUUUCCAUAAAAGCUUACGAAUCUCUCUCAACUUUUAUCACUGAAAAAUAUACAUUGAAAUAUAAUGAAAUAUGGUUAAUUGUUUAAGAAAUAUAGAGUUAUAGUAUGCCGAAAUACAAAAGUCGUGAAAACAAAGUGUAGUAAAAAUCGGCUCUAUAUUUGGAACAUUCACUAUAUUUAUACCAAAAAAAAGAUAAAAACAUUGAAAUGCAGCGAAAUAAUAUACUGAAAAUUAAAUAUAUUGUUUGUUAAUACACAGAAAUACACUGAAACAUUUUAUCAAAUACUUGGUGGGCAUGAAGCUCCACAACUCUCAUCAAUGGUGUUCUCAUGGGAAAGAAGCGAGUUGUCUCAGAUUGCUACAAAAAUGACGUUAUCCGGAGAUAAAGACUUUCAAUUGGACUAGUUAGAGGCGUGGGAUGACUUGAGUGGAUGUAAAUUCUGAUAGCUCAUAUCUACUAUGUCCAUCAACUGUUUUGAACUCAAAUUUACCUCAAACUUUUCCCAACAAUCUCUAGAUCUUUCUAUCUUUGAUAGAAGUCCAGAGAACUAGAACAAUAAAAAGAGGAAGGCCUUGACACUUUUCUGCAAUUAUGUAUCCAAUUUCAA